rnacentral:rRNA from 1 species
GAUUCCCCUAGUAACUGCGAGUGAAGCGGGAAAAGCUCAAAUUUAAAAUCUGGCGGUCUAUGGCUGUCCGAGUUGUAAUCUAGAGAAGUGAUGCCCGCGCUGGACCGUGUACAAGUCUCCUGGAAUGGAGCGUCAUAGAGGGUGAGAAUCCCGUCUCUGACACGGACUACCAGGGCUUUGUGGUAUGCUCUCAAAGAGUCGAGUUGUUUGGGAAUGCAGCUCUAAAUGGGUGGUAAAUUCCAUCUAAAGCUAAAUAUUGGCGAGAGACCGAUAGCGAACAAGUACCGUGAGGGAAAGAUGAAAAGAACUUUGGAAAGAGAGUUAAACAGUACGUGAAAUUGCUGAAAGGGAAACGCUUGAAGUCAGUCGCGUUAGCUAGGACUCAGCCUCGCUCUUGCGUGGUGUACUUUCUGGUUGACGGGUCAGCAUCAAUUUUGACUGCUGGAAAUAGGUCUUGGGAAUGUGGCAGCUUCGGCUGUGUUAUAGCCCUUGGUCACAUACAGCGGUUGGGAUUGAGGAACUCAGCACGCCGCAAGGCCGGGUUUCGACCACGUUCGUGCUUAGGAUGCUGGCAUAAUGGCUUUAAGCGACCCGUCUUGAAACACGGACCAAGGAGUCUAACAUGCCUGCGAGUGUUUGGGUGGUAAACCCGAGCGCGUAAUGAAAGUGAAAGUUGAGAUCCCUGUCGUGGGGAGCAUCGACGCCCGGACUUGAACUUUUGUGACGGAUCCGCGGUAGAGCAUGUAUGUUGGGACCCGAAAGAUGGUGAACUAUGCCUGAAUAGGGUGAAGCCAGAGGAAACUCUGGUGGAGGCUCGUAGCGAUUCUGACGUGCAAAUCGAUCGUCAAAUUUGGGUAUAGGGGCGAAAGA